UUUAUAUAAGCAAUGAGUACCAGAAUGCUCGUCGGUGCUAAAAUUGGUCUUAGUUUAUAGACAAUUCUGUUAUUUCAAAUAACUAUAAUCAAGAGCAUUUCAUUACAGUGAAACCCAAGGGCUGUAGCACAAAUCUGAUGUGACUUCUUCAUACUUACUUAAGAGUGGUCUAAAAGCAAGGAAUGCCCUGCAGUCCUCAAAAUUCUGGAUAAGUGAUGCAAUGUUUAUAUUUAGUGUGACUCAAAAUAUUGACGCCUUGCCAUGAAUAUGAGAUUUUUAAACUGCAGAAGAGAAGAAAAGUCCACGUAGAUAGAGCCAAGAAGAAGAGUUCAGGACAGCAUUACUGGAUUUCCCCAUCUGAAACCAAUGCCAUCCAUCUACAUACUGGCAAGUGUCUAGAGAGGCAGAGCCCAAGGAGUCAGCUUGCAGGUUAAAUGGGAAUUGAAUACCCAAGUUACCUGGAUCU
rnacentral:lncRNA from 1 species